GCGGGGCGGCAUGCUAAUACAUGCAAGUCGUACGCUUCUUUUUCCACCGGAGCUUGCUCCACCGGAAAAAGAAGAGUGGCGAACGGGUGAGUAACACGUGGGUAACCUGCCCAUCAGAAGGGGAUAACACUUGGAAACAGGUGCUAAUACCGUAUAACAAUCGAAACCGCAUGGUUUUGAUUUGAAAGGCGCUUUCGGGUGUCGCUGAUGGAUGGACCCGCGGUGCAUUAGCUAGUUGGUGAGGUAACGGCUCACCAAGGCCACGAUGCAUAGCCGACCUGAGAGGGUGAUCGGCCACAUUGGGACUGAGACACGGCCCAAACUCCUACGGGAGGCAGCAGUAGGGAAUCUUCGGCAAUGGACGAAAGUCUGACCGAGCAACGCCGCGUGAGUGAAGAAGGUUUUCGGAUCGUAAAACUCUGUUGUUAGAGAAGAACAAGGAUGAGAGUAACUGUUCAUCCCUUGACGGUAUCUAACCAGAAAGCCACGGCUAACUACGUGCCAGCAGCCGCGGUAAUACGUAGGUGGCAAGCGUUGUCCGGAUUUAUUGGGCGUAAAGCGAGCGCAGGCGGUUUCUUAAGUCUGAUGUGAAAGCCCCCGGCUCAACCGGGGAGGGUCAUUGGAAACUGGGAGACUUGAGUGCAGAAGAGGAGAGUGGAAUUCCAUGUGUAGCGGUGAAAUGCGUAGAUAUAUGGAGGAACACCAGUGGCGAAGGCGGCUCUCUGGUCUGUAACUGACGCUGAGGCUCGAAAGCGUGGGGAGCAAACAGGAUUAGAUACCCUGGUAGUCCACGCCGUAAACGAUGAGUGCUAAGUGUUGGAGGGUUUCCGCCCUUCAGUGCUGCAGCUAACGCAUUAAGCACUCCGCCUGGGGAGUACGACCGCAAGGUUGAAACUCAAAGGAAUUGACGGGGGCCCGCACAAGCGGUGGAGCAUGUGGUUUAAUUCGAAGCAACGCGAAGAACCUUACCAGGUCUUGACAUCCUUUGACCACUCUAGAGAUAGAGCUUCCCCUUCGGGGGCAAAGUGACAGGUGGUGCAUGGUUGUCGUCAGCUCGUGUCGUGAGAUGUUGGGUUAAGUCCCGCAACGAGCGCAACCCUUAUUGUUAGUUGCCAUCAUUUAGUUGGGCACUCUAGCAAGACUGCCGGUGACAAACCGGAGGAAGGUGGGGAUGACGUCAAAUCAUCAUGCCCCUUAUGACCUGGGCUACACACGUGCUACAAUGGGAAGUACAACGAGUCGCGAAGUCGCGAGGCUAAGCUAAUCUCUUAAAGCUUCUCUCAGUUCGGAUUGUAGGCUGCAACUCGCCUACAUGAAGCCGGAAUCGCUAGUAAUCGCGGAUCAGCACGCCGCGGUGAAUACGUUCCCGGGCCUUGUACACACCGCCCGUCACACCACGAGAGUUUGUAACACCCGAAGUCGGUGAGGUAACCUUUUGGAGCCAGCCGCCCUAAAGGGGGAAAGGU
rnacentral:rRNA from 1 species